rnacentral:rRNA from 1 species
GACGAACGCUGGCGGCGUGCUUAACACAUGCAAGUCGAACGGACAGGCCCUGCUUUUGUGGGGUUCUCGAUUGGCGAACGGGUGAGUAACACGUGAGUAACCUGCCCUUGACUUUGGGAUAACUUCAGGAAACUCGGGCUAAUACCGGAUAGGAUCUCCUGCUGCAUGGUGGGGGUUGGAAAGUUUCGGCGGUUGGGGAUGGACUCGCGGCUUAUCAGCUUGUUGGUGGGGUAGUGGCUUACCAAGGCUUUGACGGGUAGCCGGCCUGAGAGGGUGACCGGGCACAUGGGGACUGAGAUACGGCCCAGACUCCUACGGGAGGCAGCAGGGGGGAAUAUUGCACAGUGGGCGGAAGCCUGAUGCAGCAACGCCGCGUGCGGGAUGACGGCCUUCGGGUUGUAAACCGCUUUCGCCUGUGACGAAGCGUGAGUGACGGUAAUGGGUAAAGAAGCACCGGCUAACUACGUG